UAGCCGUAAACGAUACUCGCUAGGUGUCGGCCACGGUGCGACCGUUGUCGGUGCCGUAGGGAAGCCGUGAAGCGAGCCACCUGGGAAGUACGGCCGCAAGGCUGAAACUUAAAGGAAUUGGCGGGGGGAGCACAACAACGGGUGGAGCUUGCGGUUUAAUUGGAUUCAACGCCGGAAAUCUUACCGGGACCGACAGCAAACAUGAAGGCCAAGCUGAAGACUUUGCCGGAUUAGCUGAGAGGAGGUGCAUGGCGUCAGUGACU
rnacentral:rRNA from 1 species